rnacentral:rRNA from 1 species
UAGGUAGGGUGCAAGCGUUGUCCGGAUUUAUUGGGUUUAAAGGGUGCGUAGGUGGCUGAUUAAGUCAUGGGUGAAAGCCCGCAGCUCAACUGUGGAAUUGCCUGUGAUACUGAUUAGCUUGAGUGCGGUUGAGGCAGCUGGAAUUGGUGGUGUAGCGGUGAAAUGCAUAGAUACCACCAGGAACACCGAUUGCGAAGGCAGGUUGCUAAGCCGUAACUGACACUGAGGCACGACAGCGUGGGGAGCAAACAGG